rnacentral:rRNA from 1 species
UACGGAGGGUGCAAACGUUGCUCGGAAUCAUUGGGCGUAAAGCGCACGUAGGCGGCCUUGUAAGUCGGAUGUGAAAUCCCUGGGCUUAACCGAGGAAGUGCAUUCGAAACUGCAAGGCUUGAGUACAGGAGAGGAUCGCGGAAUUCCCGGUGUAGAGGUGAAAUUCGUAGAUAUCGGGAGGAACACCAGAGGCGAAGGCGGCAGUCGUGACUGAUACUGACGCUGAGGUGCGAAAGCGUGGGGAGCAAACAGG